rnacentral:rRNA from 1 species
AACGAACGCUGGCGGCAUGCCUAGCACAUGCAAGUCGAACGAGACCUUCGGGUCUAGUGGCGCACGGGUGCGUAACGCGUGGGAACCUGCCCUUAGGUUCGGAAUAACUCCCCGAAAGGGGUUCUAAUACCGGAUAAUGUCUUCGGACCAAAGAUUUAUCGCCUUUGGAUGGGCCCGCGUUGGAUUAGCUAGUUGGUAGGGUAAAAGCCUACCAAGGCGACGUUCCAUAGCUGGUCUGAGAGGAUGAUCAGCCACACUGGGACUGAGACACGGCCCAGACUCCUACGGGAGGCAGCAGUGGGGAAUAUUGGACAAUGGGCGAAAGCCUGAUCCAGCAAUGCCGCGUGAGUGAUGAAGGCCUUAGGGUUGUAAAGCUCUUUUACCCGGGAUGAUAAUGACAGUACCGGGAGAAUAAGCUCCGGCUAACUCCGUG